UGAGUGAUUUCAGUGUUUCUUGUCUAAGAGGAAGAAGGAUGAUGUUGUUGUCCCUCCAAGAGAGCUGCAGAGGGAUGGAGGGGAGGAGAGGAGGACAUUUACCACCUUGGUGUCAUGAAUCCCGAUUUGGGAUGAGGUCUUGGUGCUUGGAAGAAGUGGGAAAUUAAAGAUAAGAGGAUACGUGGUAAUUGGCUGCUGCUUGACUCCAGGCUCAGCCCUGAACCAUGAAAGAAACAGCAUCCUGUUUAAAAGGAGAAUCAAAAGCAACAAUAAAAGUAUUUAUAGCUGCACGUACAGACGCAGAAAUGAGGACGCUGGCGAAGCCAGCAGUUGGGUAUGUUAAAUAAUAAAGAGGUGAAAUGAGCAGCGAAAGACGUGUCUCAGUGGUUUAAGUAGAAGAAGGGAGACUUUGGCUUGCUUAAGCUCUCUUCCCAUGGCUGUGCCCUUCAAUUAAUAAAUUAAAAGCGCAUUUAUUAAUGA